rnacentral:rRNA from 1 species
GAUGAACGCUGGCGGCGUGCCUAAUACAUGCAAGUCGAGCGAAAAGACGAGGUGCUUUCUCCUCUGACGUUAGCGGCGGUCGGGUGCGUAACACGUGGUUAACCUACCUCUAAGACUGGGAUACUUUCGGGAAAUCGGAGCUAAUAACGGAUAAUAUAUUGAAUCUCAUGGUUCAAUCGUUAGAGACGGUUUUUCUGUCACUUAUAGCUGAACCCGGCCCGCAUUCGUUAGUUGGUAAGGAAACGGAUUACCAAGGCUACGAGGAUUAGCCGCCCCGAACGCGUGAUUGCCCACCCUGUAUCAGAGACUCGGCCCCCACACCGGCAGGAAGAAACAGCAGAGAAUCUUCCGCGAGGGGCGAAUGCCUAACGGUGCAACGCCGCGUGAAUGAUGAAGCUCUUCGGAUCGGAAAGCUCUGUAAUUAGGAAAGAACAAAUGUGUAAGUACCUAUGCUCAUCUUGACGGUACCUGAUCAGAAAGCUACGGCUAACUACGUG